CCGGAUGCGGAUCUCGAAAGCCUGUCCCAGUUCGGACUGGAGUCUGCAACCCGACUCCACGAAGUUGGAUUCGCUAGUAAUCGCGCAUCAGCCAUGGCGCGGUGAAUACGUUCCCGGGCCUUGUACACACCGCCCGUCAAGCCAUGGGAGCCGGGGGCGCCUGAAGUCCGGGACCGCGAGGACCGGCCUAGGGCGAAACUGGUAACUGGGGCUAAGUCGUAACAAGGUAAC
rnacentral:rRNA from 1 species